rnacentral:snoRNA from 1 species
UCUGGUGGUAGCGUCUUUCUGGCACAUUUGUUGAGUGUUCAAAUGGGCCUGACUCUGCCACAUACAUUAUGCAGGAGCCAGCAAAGUCUUGAGACAAAAAGUCUCUCUUGAGAGUUUCCUGAUGACAGAUUGGCUCCCAUAAGU